rnacentral:rRNA from 1 species
CUAGGCGGCCCUAGUGGUUUGGUUACACCCGAUCCCAUUUCGAACUCGGAAGUUAAGCAGACUCACGUUCCGUAUUGUACUGCGCUCAGCGCGGGAAGUGCGGUUAGCUGCCACCU